rnacentral:tRNA from 1 species
UCUCUUGUAGGUUAGGUUAAAACCGUCGGUUUGUGGUGUCGGAGAGUUCUGUUGAGCGGGGGAAGA